GUCUGUUGUAAACGGCGGCGUUAACGUGAGCGUCCUAAGGUAGCGCGAUAAUUUGCUUUUCAAUUGAAGGAUGGUAUGAAAGGGUUAACGAAGAAGGUGCUGUGUCUAAAAAUUUAAUUCAAACUAACUUUAAGGUGAAGAGGCCUUUAUGUAAAAGAAGGACGACAAGACCCUAUGAAGCUUUAUCUUAAUUGGAGCUCUCAGGCUCUUAUACGAUUUUGAUGGGAGAUCAGUAGAAAGAAGUCUUCUACUAUCAUAUUAAUCUUACUAGUAUUUCCUAACUUUAUAUGUGUGGCUAGCUACUCUAGGGAUAACAGCGCAAUUUCUCCCGAAAGAUGGUAUUGGAGGGGAAGAUUGCGACCUCGAUGUUGGCUUUAGAUAUCCUAGAGGCGUAGAAGCUUCU
rnacentral:rRNA from 1 species